UGUUGAUUUUAUGGGAUGGUAGACCAAUACAAAAAUUGUUUUGAUCUAUAUUAUUCAUGAGUAGUGUUUAUUCAUUUUGGUGUGAUUCUUCAAGUUGAAGUGCUUUUUUUGCCCUACUUGUUCACCAGCAUUUGUAUUGUUUUCCCAACAGUCAUCGGGGAAUGACCACGUCAAUGGGGUCGUUAAAGAAGAUAAAGACUGAGUUUCUUCGCUGUGAGAGGGGAAAAGAAGGUGAAUGCAUGUGAGCAGUGUGACAGAAGAAACAUGGAUGAAGGUGAUGGGUGGUGAUAUUUGGACUGAUGUCUCCGCUGUGAGGAGGUUGUUUGUUGGUCAAUGAGUGUCUGUGAUACCCUGUUCCCUUUUCACCACCUCCGUUGAAGAAUCAUUCCGGACUUGGAUUUGACAUUUCCAAAAUGAAUUUUAAUUAAGAAUUGACUGUUAGAGUAAUUACCUGCCCUAUUGGACAUUAAACAAUACAGUUGCUGUACGUUUUAUGCUGCCAAACAAAGCUAUAUUUUCCCUAUGCUAACCAACGUAGGCCUUCAGUAUGUAUUACGCUCCUCCAAAACAUGUCACAACUCGGACCCACUAUCACCGACCCCAUUGCUGAAAUCCUCAUUCACGCCUGGACUAUUGCAGCACCAUUCUCUACAGACUCCCUGACAAAACACUGGACCUACUUCCAUACAUUCAAACUCAGCUGUCAGAGUCCUCACACACACCAGACCUUGGGACAUCACAACCUUCAUCAAACUUCACUGGCUACCAGUUCAAUCCAGCAUCAUCUUCAAACUACUCUUGCUCACCUUCAAAUAGACUGGCCCUCACACACCUCUCUAACCUCCUACACUCCCACCGAUUUACUGCGCUCCUCUGACACUGGCCUACUCACCAUCCCUCGCAACAGGCUCCGCUCGAUGUGAGAACGUCCUUUUAGCAGUGCAGGCCCCAGCUCUGGAACUCCCUCCCUCCAUGUCAGAACCUCACAAUCCAUACACAUAUUCUAGUCCACACUCAGACACCUCUUCACACAGGCCUACCCAAAAUGGCUGUGUCUA